rnacentral:ncRNA from 1 species
CAGAUAGAGGCGCGGGCUUCAUCAGUAGCUUCCGGCAAGGCCAGGCAGCCGCCGGAGGUGAAAGGGGAGACCGCCGAAGCGGUGCAUGGUUGCCUGACUGUGCGCGGCUGGGCCGGAGGAGAAUAUCUUUCGGACUGUCACAGAUUUUGUGAAGCGCUAUCGA